rnacentral:rRNA from 1 species
CAGCCGCCGCGGGAAAACGAAGGGGGCUAGCGUUGUUCGGAAUUACUGGGCGUAAAGGGCGCGUAGGCGGCCAUUCAAGUUAGAUGUGAAAGCCCUGGGCUCAACCUAGGAAUUGCAUUUGAUAUUGUUUGGCUUGAGUUCGGGAGAGGUGAGUGGAAUUCCCAGUGUAGAGGUGAAAUUCGUAGAUAUUGGGAAGAACACCAGUGGCGAAGGCGGCUCACUGGACCGACACUGACGCUGAGGCGCGAAAGCGUGGGGAGCAAACAGGAUUAGAUACCCGCGUAGUCCCUGUCUCUUAUAC